UUAGUGGCGAACGGGUGAGUAACACGUGAGGAACUUGCCCAUGAGCGGGGGACAACAUUCGGAAACGGAUGCUAAUACCCCAUAGGUGGAUUGGUCGCAUGACGAAUUCAUUAAAGGUGGCUUCGCUACCACUCAUGGAUAGCCUCGCGGCGUAUUAGCUAGUUGGUAAGGUAAUGGCUUACCAAGGCAGUGAUACGUAGCCGACUUGAGAGGGUGAUCGGCCACACUGGGACUGAGACACGGCCCAGACUCCUACGGGAGGCAGCAGUAGGGAAUCUUCCACAAUGGGUGCAAACCUGAUGGAGCAAUGCCGCGUGAGUGAAGAAGGUCUUCGGAUCGUAAAGCUCUGUUGUUAGAGAAGAACACGUGCUAGGUAACUACUAGCGCCUUGACGGUAUCUAACCAGAAAGUCACGGCUAACUACGUGCCAGCAGCCGCGGUAAUACGUAGGUGACAAGCGUUGUCCGGAUUUAUUGGGCGUAAAGGGAGCGCAGGCGGUCUGUUUAGUCUAAUGUGAAAGCCCACGGCUUAACCGUGGAACGGCAUUGGAAACUGACAGACUUGAAUGUAGAAGAGGAAAAUGGAAUUCCAAGUGUAGCGGUGGAAUGCGUAGAUAUUUGGAGGAACACCAGUGGCGAAGGCGAUUUUCUGGUCUAACAUUGACGCUGAGGCUCGAAAGCGUGGGGAGCGAACAGGAUUAGAUACCCUGGUAGUCCACGCCGUANACGAUGAGUGCUAAGUGUUGGGGGCUUUCCGGCCCUCGGUGCUGGAGCUAACGUAUUAAGCACUCCGCCUGGGGAUUACGACCGCAAGGUUGAAACUCAAAA
rnacentral:rRNA from 1 species